rnacentral:rRNA from 1 species
GAUGAACGCUGGCGGCGUGCCUAAUACAUGCAAGUCGAGCGAACGGACGAGAAGCUUGCUUCUCUGAUGUUAGCGGCGGACGGGUGAGUAACACGUGGAUAACCUACCUAUAAGACUGGGAUAACUUCGGGAAACCGGAGCUAAUACCGGAUAAUAUUUUGAACCGCAUGGUUCAAAAGUGAAAGACGGUCUUGCUGUCACUUAUAGAUGGAUCCGCGCUGCAUUAGCUAGUUGGUAAGGUAACGGCUUACCAAGGCAACGAUGCAUAGCCGACCUGAGAGGGUGAUCGGCCACACUGGAACUGAGACACGGUCCAGACUCCUACGGGAGGCAGCAGUAGGGAAUCUUCCGCAAGGGGCGAAAGCCUGACGGAGCAACGCCGCGUGAGUGAUGAAGGUCUUCGGAUCGUAAAACGCUGUUAUUAGGGAAGAACAUAUGUGUAAGUAACUGUGCACAUCUUGACGGUACCUAAUCAGAAAGCCACGGCUAACUACGU